UGGGUACCUCAGUUGGAAGAGCAUGAGACUCUUAAUCUCAGGGUUGUGGGUUCAAACCCCACGAUGGGGAAAAG